rnacentral:lncRNA from 10 species
GGAGAUAUCAAAGAGUUGGGUAUUCUAAUACUAGGAGGCAGCGUCCGUUCUGCCUAGAGAGCAGAUGUGACUGUUUAGAACUCUUUGUUGAGCGAAUAAACUGGGGAGAAGGGCAAGGUUAAGUCCGACGCAUUUUCAGAUCCGCCACCAUUUACCUUAGGACCUGGAGAAAAGACUGUUUCAGUUAGCUAGCUUGAAGGCCUGCUUGGGAAGCAAGAUAGACAAGGAUUUUUUUUCCCCAUCCUCUAGCCUCACGCCUUAUUUUUCUUUCACAAUUCUGGCCAAAGAAAGCAGUAACUCAUAAUCAGAAGAGAAUUUAUCAUGAAGUUAAUUAAGCUGUGUACCUAAUUUUGUAUCUGUCAUCGUGUAUUCUUAAAAGAAGACUCCGACAUUGUAUAAGUUCUGGAUCUGAACAAAACCUGGAUAAACUCUGGUGCUUUAUUAACUUGAUGAAGAUUAGUGACACUGAGGAAUACUGAGGAACCAGGCUCUAUUCCACCCCAUCCCCUUCAUACACACCUCAUUCCAAAUGCUAUCCUGUCACAGCAGAUGCCACAUCACUUUUGGGGUGGGCUAAGAGAUCAAGAAUUGCCAUAAUAUUGAUUUGAAAAAGGAGACCUGAGCACAUAAGUGAUCAAAAACAUAUGAGAUGAAUGAGUAAAUGAACGGAGCUUGCAUUUGAGAGGCUGAACACAUUGGCAGUGACAUGAAGCACAUGAGAAUGACAGCACUAAACGCAGCGCGCAACCUGGGAAAGAGGCUGAAAAAAUACCUACUCAGCCACGACACUCCCUGUAGGGCAAGCUUAUCUGUGUGCUUACUUGGAAGCUCUUGCUUACUUAGAAGCUCCAGAGCCAGACGUCUCUUCGACCAGGAGACUGCCUCGAGAGAUAACAAAUUAUAACCUAAAGUAUGCCCAUGAUGAAACUCACUCCCACUUGGAGAGUAUCUCAAGACUCUGGCCACCUUACCACCUAGUUCUGCCCGCGAGGGCACCAGCUCAACCACCUGGUAGAUAAAGCACCAAAGCAAGUCAUUGAGACCCCCACUGGCUCACCCCCUCCCCUGCAUGCCAUUCAUGUCAAGUCCCCCUUUGAAAACCCUUGCUUUUUUGCCCCAAAAGUGAAGCAGUACCCUUAAAGGCAGAAGCCUG